rnacentral:rRNA from 1 species
UACGGAGGAUCCAAGCGUUAUCCGGAAUCAUUGGGCUUAAAGGGUCCGUAGGCGGUUUUGUAAGUCAGUGGUGAAAGCCCAUCGCUCAACGGUGGAACGGCCAUUGAUACUGCAAGACUUGAAUUAUUAGGAAGUAACUAGAAUAUGUAGUGUAGCGGUGAAAUGCUUAGAUAUUACAUGGAAUACCAAUUGCGAAGGCAGGUUACUGGUAAGAUAUUGACGCUGAUGGACGAAAGCGUGGGGAGCGAACAGG